GUCGAACGGAGUAAUAAUUUGCCUGCAAAUUAUUACUUAGUGGCGGACGGGUGAGUAACGCGUAGGAAUCUGCCGUACAGUGGGGGACAACAGUUGGAAACGACUGCUAAUACCGCAUGAUACCUUCGGGUCAAAGGUAGCACUUAUGUGCUGUCGCUGUGCGAUGAGCCUGCGUUGGAUUAGCUAGUUGGUUGGGUAAAGGCUGACCAAGGCGAUGAUCCAUAGCUGUUCUGAGAGGAAGAUCAGCCACACUGGGACUGAGACACGGCCCAGACUCCUACGGGAGGCAGCAGUGGGGAAUAUUGGACAAUGGGGGCAACCCUGAUCCAGCAAUACCACGUGUGUGAAGAAGGCCUUAGGGUUGUAAAGCACUUUAGUUCGUGAGGAAGGCUAUUAGGUUAAGAGCUAGAUAGUUUGACGUUAGCGAAAGAAUAAGCACCGGCUAACUCCGUGCCAGCAGCCGCGGUAAUACGGAGGGUGCGAGCGUUAAUCGGAAUUACUGGGCGUAAAGGGUUCGUAGGUGGUUAGAUAAGUCAGAUGUGAAAGCCCUGGGCUCAACCUGGGAACUACAUUUGAUACUGUUUAACUAGAGUUUACUAGAGGAUUGGGGAAUUUCCGGUGUAGCGGUGAAAUGCGUAGAGAUCGGAAGGAACAUCAAUGGCGAAGGCAACAAUCUGGGGUUAAACUGACACUGAGGGACGAAAGCGUGGGUAGCAAACAGGAUUAGAUACCCUGGUAGUCCACGCUGUAAACGAUGAGUACUAGCUGUUGGAUCUGGUGUAAAAGAUUUAGUGGCGCAGCUAACGCGUUAAGUACUCCGCCUGG
rnacentral:rRNA from 1 species